UUUUUACACAGGCAUUUAUUGCGCUGUAUACGUGGGUAGCUGAAUUAACGUUUAAGCGGCGUAUUUCCGUCGCCAGCCCCACGGUUAGGAAGGCCGCGUUUAGCGGCUUUUCCUAUAGUUAG
rnacentral:ncRNA from 1 species